rnacentral:rRNA from 1 species
GGAUUAGAUACCCUGGUAGUCCACGCCGUAAACGAUGUCUGCUAGCCGUCGGGGCACUUGGUGCUUCGGUGGCGCCGCUAACGCAUUAAGCAGACCGCCUGGGGAGUACGGUCGCAAGAUUAAAACUUAAAGGAAUUGACGGGGGCCCGCACAAGCGGUGGAGCAUGUGGUUUAAUUCGAAGCAACGCGCAGAACCUUACCAGCCCUUGACAUCCUGUGCAACAUCCAGAGAUGGAUGGUUCCCCUCGGGGACGCAGUGACAGGUGCUGCAUGGCUGUCGUCAGCUCGUGCCG